GGAUUGUAGCUCAGUGGUAGAGCACUUGCCUAGUAUGUGUGAGGCCCUGGGUUCGAUCCUCAGCACCA
rnacentral:tRNA from 1 species